GACGAACGCUGGCGGCGUGCUUAACACAUGCAAGUCGAACGAAGUGGCGAACGGGUGAGUAACGCGUAAUCAACCUGCCCUUCAGAGGGGGACAACAGUUUGAAACGACUGCUAAUACCGCAUACUGAAGGAGGGGCUUGCGUCUGAUGAGGUGGUUGGAGGGGUAACGUCCCACCAAGGCGAUGAUCAGUAGGCGGUCUGAGAGGAGGAACGGGCAAAUGGGGACGUAGACAAGGACCAGAAGCCUACGGGAGGGAGCAGUGGGGAAUCUUCCGCAAUGGACGAAAGGCUGACGGAGCAAAGCCGGGGGAGUGAUGACGGGCUUCGGGUUGUAAAGAUCUGUUAAUCGGGACGCGGUACCGGAAUAGAAAGCCACGGCUAACUACGUGCCAGCAGCCGCGGUAAUAC
rnacentral:rRNA from 1 species